UCCUACGGGAGGCAGCAGUGGGGAAUAUCGCGCAAUGGGCGAAAGCCUGACGCAGCGACGCCGCGUGAGGGAUGAAGGUCUUCGGAUCGUAAACCUCUGUCAGCAGGGAAGAACGGUCACUGUGCUAAUCAGCAGUGAAUUGACGGUACCUGCAAAGGAAGCACCGGCUAACUCCGUGCCAGCAGCCGCGGUAAUACGGAGGGUGCGAGCGUUAAUCGGAAUUACUGGGCGUAAAGCGCUCGUAGGCGGUAUGUCAAGUCAAGGGUGAAAUCCCCACGCUCAACGUGGGAACUGCCUUUGAAACU
rnacentral:rRNA from 1 species